rnacentral:rRNA from 1 species
GACGAACGCUGGCGGCGUGCUUAACACAUGCAAGUCGAACGGAAAGGCCCUGCUUUUGUGGGGUGCUCGAGUGGCGAACGGGUGAGUAACACGUGAGUAACCUGCCCUUGACUUUGGGAUAACUUCAGGAAACUGGGGCUAAUACCGGAUAGGAGCUCCUGCUGCAUGGUGGGGAUUGGAAAGUUUCGGCGGUUGGGGAUGGACUCGCGGCUUAUCAGCGUGUUGGUGGGGUAGUGGCUUACCAAGGCUUUGACGGGUAGCCGGCCUGAGAGGGUGACCGGCCACAUUGGGACUGAGAUACGGCCCAGACUCCUACGGGAGGCAGCAGUGGGGAAUAGUGCACAAUGGGCGGAAGCCGGAUGCAGCAACGCCGCGUGCGGGAUGACGGCCUUCGGGUUGUAAACCGCUUUCGCCUGUGACGAAGCGUGAGUGACGGUAAUGGGUAAAGAAGCACCGGCUAACUACGUG